UUUAUCUCUCCUGUUUCUUUAGGUUGCCGCCGGGAUGCUCGCCGGAAAAAGUUAGUCUGGCGAUUUCUUUUAAAGCUUGCUUUGUUGCAAUAGAAUCAGAAAAUGGCGAUUUACUAAACCCUAAUUACUUGGACAGUUCAUUACAUGAGGAAAUGAUAAUUUCUAUCUGCAGAUGUAAUGUCAUAUGAACCAGCUUGAUACAAGAUGACUAUGGCUAGAUAAUUUGGGAAUUUACUUUGCUGUUUAACCUUGAUUAGGAGAUUGUAGCCUGGAUAUUGACAAGGUACCCUUUUGUAUUCUAUAUCAACCACUCCAUAAGAAAAUAACUCUGCAGCUGAAUUCGGACGAGCCAAUCUUCCAUAUGCACGAGUGCUGAGAAUGAAAUCGGUUCUGUCACCUUCACCGUAGUUAUUUAUCUCUUAUUUUGAUUAACAUGCAAUGUGAUGUGAUGUAAUGAAAUGACCUGAUAGCAAGCUCCACAGCCAGUUCCAUUCCUCCAUAAUCGAGAGACUCCAGCGACAUUAGCAACAUUGAUGGUUCUUCCAUACUCUCCAUAUCCGCAAGCUCCAGCUAAGUUUUUUGGCAUUGAUUAUUAAUAGAAUGAAUUUAUGUAUUUUACAUGUAUCAUGUAUUAUGGGAAUUGAAACUUACUUGGGUUUCCUAGACAGUCGGGGCUUCCAUAGUAGGAUGCUCUAGAGGGGACAAAGUAGUCCUGACAGUAUGAAAGUGCUGGUAGAAGAGUAAGAGCACAUAGAAGGGAGUAGUAGUUUCUAGUUGGGAAACUCAUUUUUUCUUAUUGUUUGUGAGAUGGGAAGGUGAUAUGAAGAGUCUAUAUUUAUAAUUGAAUUGAGAUAGCAGCCAUUUAUGAAUGGUUACCUUUUUCUUCCACUGAGCUAGAUUUUAGAUGAGAAUAAGUAGAUGUCCAUAUUAUUAAAGAAUAUAAAAUGUGAUAUUAUUAUACAUGUGCUUUGUAGGAUCCAUCUAGUUUCAGAGGAUAGACUCCCCUUCCAUUUUUUUAUAAUACAGAACCGCUCUAGGGUGAUGCAACUUAUGCAUUAGAAUAUGGACACAUUCUCAGAGUGCCACGUAAAAAAAAUAAUUUUUUUUGCUAAAUAUGAACUUCAUUAUUGCCAAUGAGCCUUAUGUCACUUAACCGACUGCGACUUAGAUUGUGGUAUCUUGAAGGGUGUAGAACUUUGUCUCUAUUCUUUAUCAUUUUAUUGUUGUCAUUAGGAAGACUUUUGGGUAUGAAUAUUGGAGUUAUUUCUUCUUAGAAUUUUGUUCUCUUAUUUACUUCUUUUCCUUUAAUAUAUAUGUAUAGCAUCAAUUCUAUUUUUCAUAUCAUUUGAAUAUAUCUAUUAAAAGAAUUGUUUUUGCUUUUUCUUAAUAGUCACCUUCUUGAUAAAACCGUAAAUUUUAGGUGUACUAGAGCUCCAGGUCUUAUUUAUUGACAGAGGGCUUCAACAGUCAUAAAUCAUCCAACACAAUGUAUCACAAAUCAUUCAACAUAAUUUUUUCUUGUUUUUAUUAUUGGCAUUAUUUCCGUAUUCAUUUAGUAUCGUGCCAUUAGCAGAUUUUAGCACAAUUUUGAUAAUCUAGCUGCUGUCAUUUUGUAGACUUCAUCCAAGACUCAACUGUUAGGAUCUCUUGACAUCGUCCCACUUUUUGGCUUUGUCUCCAAAGCCACUUGACAACUUUUCACUCAAUUGUGCGGACCCCUUUAACAUCGUUCCACUUUUCAGCGUUUGUCUCAAAAGCCACUCUAUUUUGUUGAAUCAAGAUCCACCGAUCCCCUAAUUUAGGCUGAAAUUUUUUGCCUAGUUUUAAGGAGAUUGUUGAAUUAGCAAACUAGACAUAUUUAUAGUCUUUGUGUC